CCGUAGUAGCUACAGGCCAUGCCAGCAAGGAUGGUUUUGAAAGUGCUGUGGCGUGUAGAGAAGAUCCUGGGAGGGAGAGGCGCUGUCUGUAAAGAGAAGCUAAGAAAGCAAUCAGGAUGCAAGGGUGACCAUGAAACGCUGGAGGGAGAAGUACAGGCUGUCUAAGUCAGACCGUCCAAAGAAGGGUACCCAAUGACUGAGGACUACACAGAUGACAAAGCUUGGAAAAGUACUGCAGCCUCCGGAGCCUUUAGAAUCCAGAAGACAUCCAUGCCAAAAGCAGAGCUCAACAA